ACAAUUUUGGAGUUUAUGGCAUAUUUUUCUUUCUUACCUCCGCUUUAUUAUUUUGUCUUGUUCAUAUUUUAGCGAGUCUAAGAUUUUGAAUGGAUGCAGCGGACAAAACGGUUUAAUUUGUCUGCUAUUCAGUCUACUUCAUUUUUGGGCGGACAAUAAAUCGAUGCGGAUCAAAUUUAUUUAUAUGUAAAAACGGUCCGUAGAUGGUCCGUUGCGGUUUUCUUCUAUUAUUUUUUAUCCAGACCACUGCGUACUAUAAUUAAUGAAUGGUAAAUAAAAAAAGGUUUGAUCCAUUGACGAUUUUGUCCGCCUUAACCAUCAUAACCAUCCAAACCCUAAUUCUAAAAUUUCAACGUGGCAGAAAAGAAGGUAAU
rnacentral:sRNA from 1 species